UUAUUGGGCUGAUUUUGUGCAACUGGAAAGAAGCUGAUCUGCUGUUUGGCAUUAAUGCUGCUUGUAGCAUAACAGCGCGACAUCGGAGGUUAUCAGGCGUGGUCACAUUAAUCAGCUGACCGUCAGACGUUGUGUUGGAACCGGGGAUGGCGGCCUUUCUGUCCGCUGCAGCUUCCGCGAGUUUCUCAGUACUGAUAAACUUCUUUUCCAUUUCUGUGUGACCUUAUCUCAGCUGUGGCUGUCACCAGUCUUAUAUGGCUCGUUGGAUUUUUACGAUAUUUACACUUUUGUCGUACCAAUUAUAGUCAGUUUUCCUGACAAUCCUGGUACAUUUCAUAACGUCACUUCCAUUGUCUCCUGCGUGACGUUUGUUGUCUCCAGCGUUUUCUCGCCGUGUUGUCUGAAGUGCCUGUAUCUUCGAAGCAUUUGUACUUCUGUGUGAGCUGGCUCCUGUCGGCGUUUCAUACGUUACAGCUUAGUUUCAAACGUCCACUUUUCGCAACACGCUGCUUCCCCUUCUGUAUUCAACCACAUUUUUUAGAUUACGGCCAUUUGCGUUAAUAAUCUGUUUUACGAAGGGCGUUCGCAAGUAAAGCAAAAAGGCAAAAACUGAGGAGAAAUUUUGUUUAAGGCGAUAUUAUGACGUCCAGAGGUUGCACAAAUACACGAGACUUGUUUCGCUAUGUGUGCGGUUGCCUAAGAGACUAAGCCCAUCGUAGGUCUUUUACAUCAUUUCUGAAGAAGGCAUAUGAACAACACUUCGAUUGAAAUGUAUGUGCCAAUGGUCUCCAAUGUGCAUCUCGCGAAUAUUGACCUUAUCUUAUUUCUGAUCUUCAGAGCCAUUUAAUAUGGAGUAUUUUCAUAUAAUGUGAGCCUGUGAAAAGGUAGCAUGUAUUUCAAUUUAUGUCUAGUUUCAUAGGCAUGUGUGAAUGUAUUUCCUUCAAACAGAUGUGAGUUUUUCUGUUCGAAGAGAAAUAUUUCAUAUAUGUAGAUGGAAGGGAUUGUCAUGAUGUCCAGGCUAUCGAAUAGUGAUGAUUAAUCUAAAAGAGCUGUAUGAUUGUGACAAAAUUUGUAAAUUUCUCAAUAAUUUAUAAUGUUGUUAAUUAACAAUAGAAAGGCUAAAUAAGUUAUAUUUAAAAAAAAUUUAGAAAGUGAUGAGGUUAAUAUUACCAGAAUUUUACAAUAAUGAUACAUACUAAUUAUUAUUAUGUGUGGGGUUGUAUGCCUAUGAUUUGUUUUGUGUAGACUCAGUGGAUAACUAGACUGUAUAAUUUUAUGUUGUACAUAACUUAAGUAAAAUGGAAUGAUUAAAAAGAAGUGCCAUGCUUUUUAUAUGGGAACAAUCUAGAACUGUUCAUUCUGCACAUAAAGAUGAGUAUUUAGAGUAUAGUUAAAACUGAUAAUUUAACAUACCAUCUCCACUGUCAGAAUAUAUUGCUUUGUUAAAAGACAUAAAUCACAAAACCCGUCAUCUUAUUGUAAUGAUGUCACAUUCAUAUUUUUGGGUAAUAAGAUGGAUGGAAGUGGUAAAAACAAGGAUGACAGCAUUGUAAUAAUAUUUUUUGGAAAUAAUUAAAUUUCUCAUGCACUAUGUGUUUGGCAUAAAAUUCUUUCCAUUUUUCAUUCCGUAAAUUUUCCUUGAAUAUUGUAACAAUCAGCAUUUACAGUUCUAUGAAAGCAACUUGUUGUAUUAAAACGUAAAAUUAUAAACAUAAAAUUACCUCCUGAGUUAAUCUGUACUGCUGAGGGUGCUUUAUAGCUGUCAUUUGAG